rnacentral:rRNA from 2 species
GCAUAUCAAUAAGCGGAGGAAAAGAAACCAACAGGGAUUGCCCUAGUAACGGCGAGUGAAGCGGCAACAGCUCAAAUUUGAAAUCUGGCUUCGGCCCGAGUUGUAAUUUGUAGAGGAUGCUUUUGGCGAGGUGCCUUCUGAGUUCCCUGGAACGGGACGCCAUAGAGGGUGAGAGCCCCGUAUAGUCGGACACCUAGCCUCUGUAAAGCUCCUUCGACGAGUCGAGUAGUUUGGGAAUGCUGCUCAAAAUGGGAGGUAUAUCUCUUCUAAAGCUAAAUAUAGGCCAGAGACCGAUAGCGCACAAGUAGAGUGAUCGAAAGAUGAAAAGCACUUUGAAAAGAGGGUUAAAUAGCACGUGAAAUUGUUGAAAGGGAAGCGCUUGUGACCAGACUUGUGCCGGGCUGAUCAUCCAGUGUUCUCACUGGUGCACUCGACCCGGCUCAGGCCAGCGUCGGUUGUCGCGGGGGGAUAAAAGCGGCGGGAACGUGGCUCCUCCGGGAGUGUUAUAGCCCGCCGCUCAAUGCCCUCGCGGCGACCGAGGUUCGCGCUCUGCAAGGACGCUGGCAUAAUGGUCAUCAGCGACCCGUCUUGAAACACGGACC